rnacentral:rRNA from 1 species
GGAAAGGCGCGCGAUACAGGGUGACAGCCCCGUACACAAAAAUGCACAUGCUGUGAGCUCGAUGAGUAGGGCGGGACACGUGGUAUCCUGUCUGAAUAUGGGGGGACCAUCCUCCAAGGCUAAAUACUCCUGACUGACCGAUAGUGAACCAGUACCGUGAGGGAAAGGCGAAAAGAACCCCGGCGAGGGGAGUGAAAAAGAACCUGAAACCGUGUACGUACAAGCAGUGGGAGCACGCUUAGGCGUGUGACUGCGUACCUUUUGUAUAAUGGGUCAGCGACUUAUAUUCUGUAGCAAGGUUAACCGAAUAGGGGAGCCGAAGGGAAACCGAGUCUUAACUGGGCGUUAAGUUGCAGGGUAUAGACCCGAAACCCGGUGAUCUAGCCAUGGGCAGGUUGAAGGUUGGGUAACACUAACUGGAGGACCGAACCGACUAAUGUUGAAAAAUUAGCGGAUGACUUGUGGCUGGGGGUGAAAGGCCAAUCAAACCGGGAGAUAGCUGGUUCUCCCCGAAAGCUAUUUAGGUAGCGCCUCGUGAAUUCAUCUCCGGGGGUAGAGCACUGUUUCGGCAAGGGGGUCAUCCCGACUUACCAACCCGAUGCAAACUGCGAAUACCGGAGAAUGUUAUCACGGGAGACACACGGCGGGUGCUAACGUCCGUCGUGAAGAGGGAAACAACCCAGACCGCCAGCUAAGGUCCCAAAGUCAUG